rnacentral:lncRNA from 1 species
CAAGCUCCUUCAAUGUUGCUUGAAUGCUGAUAUCUUGAAAAGAAGAGAUCCUCCUUCUAAAACCUAGACUAAAAUAUUCAUCCCCCAUGUUUAAUAGUAAUGUUGUGUAUUCUUCGGGUUUUGGGCAUCAUAAAGGAAUCCUCAUGUUAUGCUUUAGAUGUUUUCUCAGGUCCCUAUGUAAGAACGAAUGUAUGGCUUGUUAAUGACCCCAAUUUCAGAGUGAAUCUAUAGUUUCUGCAAUCUCCAUUUAGAAUGUAGUAGAGUUCACAAGGUACAUUGUUUAAGUUUCAAUAGACCAAUCUUUAUGGGAUAAGAAACUUUUAAGCAACAGGGAAGCAUUUCUAUUUGGGGAAGAUAAUUUAAUACUUCAAAACAUUGUCUUUCCAAGGCAUCCAUGCAAAUUAGAAGCAUCAAGGACUAUAAAUGUUAUUUCAUCCUUAAAUUGAAGAUUAACAAAAUUGGCUGAGCCACAUGAAGAAAAUCAAUAACCUGCAAAUACAUUUUUGAGCUUCAAAGAUAGCUAUGUUAGCAUCAACAGUCUGUAGGCAUCAGUGCAUCAAACAUACCACGA